CACGGAGGAUGCGAGCGUUAUCCGGAUUUAUUGGGUUUAAAGGGUGCGUAGGCGGGAUGCCAAGUCAGCGGUAAAAAUGCGGUGCUCAACGCCGUCGAGCCGUUGAAACUGGCGUUCUUGAGUGGGCGAGAAGUAUGCGGAAUGCGUGGUGUAGCGGUGAAAUGCAUAGAUAUCACGCAGAACUCCGAUUGCGAAGGCGGCAUACCGGCGCCCUACUGACGCUGAGGCACGAAAGCGUGGGUAUCGAACAGG
rnacentral:rRNA from 1 species